rnacentral:misc_RNA from 1 species
CCUCCUCUUAAGAGUUUUAAUCAGUAACAAAAAAAAGGACAGAACAGAGUGCACACGCACGUACACGGCCCCUCCCCCCCUCCCCCAGCUCGCUCCCGCACGACAGCUUGAAAGCAAAGACAAGAGGCGCACACGCACUCGCUCUUUGCUCACGUCAACAGAGGCAAAGGCAGGCUCGACGAUAUCGCACACGGUCAGCCGCGUACGCCCGUCUGCGCCCUGCUCAGCCGUUCUCGCCCUCGCAAGCUGCAACAGCACCACGCCCUCUGAGGAGCAGCCCUCUUCGCACAAUCGGGUCAACUGGGCACUUGUUUGCGUGAAGGAUACCCCGUCCUGUUCGCCGACCUCGUCGAACGACACCAUCUCCCCAACAACACCCCCAGUGUUUGCUGUUGACGAAAGAACCCCGCUGCUGUACAAGGCAAUCAUGAGCGGCGCUAACCACCACAACCACUCCAGCGACAGCGACGACCGCUCCGCCCCGCUGCCCGAGGAGCUCGCCACCCACUACCCCUACACCGAGGCGGGCGGCAAUGUCCUUGCCGCAGACAGCGCUGCUGUCACAAAGAUGAAGGGCACCGCGGGCGAGUCCUACUCCUCGUCCAGCGUCGAUGGACUGGCCGUGCCGCAAGCCAACUCCACUGGCGUGCGCGGGGCCAUCGAGAGGGUCUACUCCAUCAUCCCCCAUGGUGGGCUGGUCGCCAACAUCUACAAUCUGGCAAGCGCCACCCUCGGUGCCGGAAUUGUCUCUGUGCCGUCCGGCUUUCACCAGUCUGGUAUGGUGGUGUCCGUUGUGCUGCUCGCCGUUGUGUGUGCGUGCACCAUUUACUCCAUUCGCUUGCUGGGCCAGGCGAAGCUGAAGACGGGUCUGCGGUCGUAUGAGGAGAUGGCGCGCGGCAUGCUGGGUCGCGGCUGGGACUACUUUGCUGCGUUCCUCAUGCUAAUGUUCUGUUGGGGCACGUGCGUCGGGUACGUCAUUUCAGUCGGCGACUUGCUGUCGCCGAUGCUGGAUGGCCCCAACACGAACGCGUUCUUUAAGACGGACAAUGGCCACCGCAUCCUCAUUGGACUGAUCUGGUUCGUUGGCAUGUUCACGUUGUCGCUGCCGAAGGAGAUCAACUCGCUACGCUACGCGUCGGUGAUCGGCGUGUCUUUUGUCGUCUUCUUCGUCAUUUGCGUGAUCGUUCACUCCGCCCGCAACGGCCUCAAGAACGGCAUCCGCAAGGACAUCGUGCUCGCCAACAACGGCAUGCCGGCCGUCAACGGUCUCACGCUGUUCAUUUUCGCAUUCAUCUGCCAAGUGAACGUGUUUGAGAUUUUCGACGAAAUGCAGAAGCCCACGCUCGGCCGCAUGACGCGCGACGCGACGAUCAGUAUGCUCGUCGUGGCGUUGCUGAACUUCUUUUCCGGCUUCUUCGGCUACUGCGAUUUUGGCGCGGAGGUGGACGGCUCGAUUCUGCUGCUGUACCGCCCGCUUGAGGAUCCGCUCUUCAUGAUUUCGUACAUUGGUAUUUGCAUCAAGCUGUGCGUCGGCUUCGCCAUCUGCAUUCAGCCCUCGCGCGAUGCCAUCUACUACUGUCUGGGGAUGGGCAAGACGUCUGAUGUGAAGGACUGGCUGAACUGGAUCGUCAGUGGCUUCCUUGCCCUUGCCGCGCUCAUCUGCGGUCUCUUCAUCCCCAGCAUCAACAUUGUCUUCUCCCUGCUCGGCGGUAUCUGCGGUGGCUUUCUCGGCUUCAUGUUUCCGGCGUACUUUUUCAUCUACUCGGGUGGCUUCACGCUCAAGAAGGUCGGCAUCCUGAACUACCUUGGCUGCAUCGUGCUGAUCGUUGGUGGCGUGGUCGCCGUCGUCUUCGGCACUGCUGUCGCCAUCUUCAGCGAGAUCCCUUGAUUGGACGGACGCGAGUGCGUUCAGGAGGUAAGAGCAGCGGUACCCUUGCGCGACAUGAGGCCGCUCUCGAGGCGUGCCUCCGCGUGUGGCGGAGUACGUGCCAACUUUGCCGAUACCCUUGUGGUGGUGGCGCGGCGGUCGACUUCGGCGCCUUUCCUGGUUAACGUGGUCUGCCGCCCUUCCCCCUCCCUCUUUCUGUCUCUCUCUCUCCCUGUCUCUGUCUAUACCUGUGUGUGUAUCCCCUCUUCAACACGCGUGUCUUCUCUGUUCUCUCCGUCCCCUCACCCCCCUUCUUUUAUCUUUUGUUUUUUUAUUGUUUCCCCGCCUGCCGCCAAGCAAAACCAUUUUCUCCUCUUGUUGUAAAACCAAAGAUCGCGCGAUGCGAACCAAACCAACAACAACAAAAAAUUUUUGUUGUGCGUGUUUGAAAAAUAAGUAAGCGUCAACUAAACGCGAACUUCUUCUUUUUUUUUUGUUGCCCCCUCCCUCACCCCCUUUUUUCCUUUUCUUCUCUCUUUCUCUUCCACCCGAUCAAGGUGUUUUGUAUGUUGUGUUUGGGUGCAUGCGUGUGCGUGUGCGUGUGCGUAGGUACGCGUUGAUGGCGAGAAAGUUCUUUGCCCGCUGCCCGCUGCCCGCUGCCCGCUGCCCGGUGCUCUCUCUUUCUCUUUGUGGUGCCGCGUCCUUUCCCUUUUUUUUUGUUUUCUGUGCUCGUCCCUGUCCCCGUAUGCGCUCACGGAGGCAAAAAUGGCCGACUUGUUUUCAUCUUUGCUGACGACCUUUACUUCUCGGCCUUCUCGCUUUUACUGGACACAUGUAAGGACGCAGGAGCAGUCUUUGACGGGAGAGCAACCAGCGAAAGAAAAUGGAAAGCGAGGAGGGCAUUCAUCUACGACACGCGUACAUAUGCCGAGUCUCUCUCUCUUUCCUGAAGCACACACACACACACACACACACACACAGACACACAGACGCGCGUAUACGCCAAACUGUAUUGUUGUGCGUUUACGUUUUCUUUUUUUUUUGCGUUGAUUUCUUUUCAUUUGUUCUUGUAAACACCUGAGUGCAGAACCUGUGAAAGCCCUUUUCCCCUUUCUCACCAUCGGCGACUGUCUUAGUCUUCCCCCUUCUUUCCCGCGUUCUUGCUUCUAAGCGCGCAUUUCCAUGAUGGUUAUGAGAUUAGGCUUGUAUGUGUGCGUGUGUCCUGGACUGACCGCUCACCACUGUCACCACCGCCCUUGUGUCUUACCCGUCCCGCAUCUCGCUCCCUCUCUCUCUUCGAAUUCUCGCUCGCUUCUGUGUGGCUUCCUUUUCGUCUGAUUCUCUUUAUCGCGGAGGACGAAGCGGGACGAGAGCGCGAUGUUGACGUUGGUCAUCACGGAUCUGUGUCUGUUUGUCUGCCUGCCUGCCUGUGUGUGUGUGUGUGUGUGGUUAGGUCGGCCGAACACCGAGGCUUCACAGCAACAGAAAGCGACAAAAGCGCCAGGCGUGCGUGAGAAAUGUGUUUCGGCGUGCGGCUUCUUUUCUUUUGUUGUUUGUUGUUUCGCUCGUCUUUGGGUCUUCUUUCUUCCCUCCUUUUUGCCUAUGUGUUUGCUUCGCGCGCGUGCGCUUUUUGGUGGUGGGUGGGGCACCGGCGCUGCUUCACCAUUCCCGCGCAUGUCUCCCUCUUUCACCUCUACGCACACUACCUCGACUGCGAGUGACCUUUUCUUUCCUGCCUCUUGUCUCUACUUCUUUUUUGCGACUCACUGUGUGAUGCCUCUGCCCCACCUCUUCUCUCUGUCCCUCGCCAAGGGCAUCGCAGCGCACCCCCCUCCCCCCGCCCUGGCGCAUCACCUUGCCCGUUUCUUCUCUCUUAUGGUGGCCGUUCGCUACGCUGCCUGGCUGCGUAUGAGACGCCCGUGCGCUCGAGGUAUCGACAUUUUUGUGUGUUGCUUGAAGAGGUGCAGACAGUCGACAGCUGUUGUCUUCAUUUCUCUCUCUACCCCGUGCUUUCGUGUUUUGCGCUUUCUUCGGGUUGUAUUGCUCACCUGCAUGCGGCAGGGGCGGUGGUGGCGAGCUCUCUUUCUUUAGCCGCACAUGUGCUCACGCACGCACAAACAAGAAAAAGUAAUGGUGAGAGGAACAGGGCAGCCGCGCCUGUGAGAGGAAGCAACGCUUGCCUAUAUACAUAUUUGCGCGUCUGUGUUCGUAUAUUCAGUUGCUGUCUGGAGCGUGUGCGGAACCGCGUUCUCUCUUUCUCUUCAUCUCUUUGUUUUCUUUUUGUUUGGACUCCUCUCUACCACUUCGCUGACACGCAUGCGCGCGUGGCUUUCAGACUCGUUUUCCCUUUCUCCCUUUCUGCGCAUGAGCGGAGAGCCGUGGCGGGAGUUGGCCAAGAGAGUGAGGCGGGGAGCGGCCGCGGAAGAAGGUUAAACGAAAACCAGAGCUGAAGAACUUGCUUCCGAAAUAGCGACUCCCCGCGCUUAGAUAGACACACAUAUACAUGCUUCUUCACGAGUGCUCACGACUAAUUAUCGCCAGCACCCACCAAUCGGACUUGAGGAAGAGACGCACACGCGCAUACAGACACACGCUCGUGAGGAGGCCAAGAGACAUUCUCUCUCUCUCUGUCCUUCGCUCCCACCACCACCAGCACCAGCACUAACACCUCCAGUACACCAGGUGCUUCUUGUAUCGAUGAAGCUAGGUGCGUGUGUGCGUGUGCGCCUCUCUCCCUCUCUCUCUGUGUCCGUGGGAGUGUAUAUCGGCGUGGCGGCCUUCCCCACAUCAGGCACGCAAAGGAGGAAGAAAUGGAAGAACACGCUUCACGUCACCUUUGCAUGCGCAAUAUGUAGCGCUCAGG